UACGAAGGGGGCUAGCGUUGUUCGGAAUCACUGGGCGUAAAGGGCGCGUAGGCGGCUUUAUAAGUCGGGGGUGAAAUCCCAGGGCUCAACCCUGGAACUGCCUUUGAUACUGUCGAUCUGGAGUAUGGAAGAGGUGAGUGGAAUUCCGAGUGUAGAGGUGAAAUUCGUAGAUAUUCGGAGGAACACCAGUGGCGAAGGCGGCUCACUGGUCCAUUACUGACGCUGAGGUGCGAAAGCGUGGGGAGCAAACAGG
rnacentral:rRNA from 1 species